AUUGAACGCUGGCGGCAGGCCUAACACAUGCAAGUCGAACGAGUGGCGGACGGGUGAGUAAUGUCGGGAAAACUGCCUGAUGUACGGGUAUAACUACUGGAAACGGUAGCUAAUACCGCAUACCAUCAGAUGUGCCCAGAUGGGAUUAGCUGGUUGGUGGGGUAACGGCUCACCAAGGCGACGAUCCCUAGCUGGUCUGAGAGGCUGACCAGCCACACUGGAACUGAGACACGGCCCAGAAUCCUACGGGAGGCAGCAGUGGGGAAUAUUGCACAAUGGGCGAAAGCCUGAUGGAGCCAUGCCGCGUGAAUGAAGAAGGCCUUCGGGUUGUAAAGUACUUUCAUCGGGGAGGCGUUACCCACAGAGGAAGCCACGGCUAACUCCGUGCCAGCAGCCGCGGUAAUUC
rnacentral:rRNA from 1 species